AUUGAACGCUGGCGGCAGGCCUAACACAUGCAAGUCGAACGGUAACAGGAAGAAGCUUGCUUCUUUGCUGACGAGUGGCGGACGGGUGAGUAAUGUCUGGGAAACUGCCUGAUGGAGGGGGAUAACUACUGGAAACGGUAGCUAAUACCGCAUAACGUCGCAAGACCAAAGAGGGGGACCUCGGGGCCCCUUCCAUCCGGUGGUGCCCGAUGGGAUUAGCUAGUAGGUGGGGGAAAGGCUCACCUAGGCGACGAUCCCCAGCUGGGCUGAGAGGAUGACCAGCCACACUGGAACUGAGACACGGUCCAGACUCCUACGGGAGGCAGCAGUGGGGAAUAUUGCACAAUGGGCGCAAGCCUGAUGCAGCCAUGCCGCGUGUAUGAAGAAGGCCUUCGGGUUGUAAAGUACUUUCAGCGGGGAGGAAGGGAGUAAAGUUAAUACCUUUGCUCAUUGACGUUACCCGCAGAAGAAGCACCGGCUAACUCCGUG
rnacentral:rRNA from 1 species